rnacentral:rRNA from 1 species
UACGUAGGGACCGAGCGUUGUCCGGAUUCAUUGGGCGUAAAGAGCUCGUAGGCGGCCACUCAAGUCGAAUGUGAAAGCUCGAGGCUUAACCUCGAGCCUGCAUUUGAUACUGGGCGGCUAGAGUCUGGUAGGGGGAUCUGGAAUUCCUGGUGUAGCGGUGGAAUGCGCAGAUAUCAGGAGGAACACCGGUGGCGAAGGCGGGAUCCUGGGCCAGUACUGACGCUGAGGAGCGAAAGCGUGGGGAGCAAACAGG